GCCAGGCGUGGUGGCGCAUGCCUGUAAUCCCAGCUACUCGGGAGGCUGAGGCAGGAGAAUUGCUUGAAUCCGGGAGGCAGAGGUUGCAGUGAGCUGAGAUCGUGCCACUGCACUCCAGCCUGGGUGACAGAGUGAGACUCCGUCUCAA
rnacentral:SRP_RNA from 1 species